rnacentral:lncRNA from 1 species
UAUGUGAGGCCAGAUUUGACCCAGGAUCUCCUAUCUCUGGGCCUGACUUGCAAUCCACUGAGCUACCCAGUUGCUAAGUGUUAGGGUAGACAGAUAAAAGAUUAUCAGGCACAAAUAGGAAUAGGUUGGAAGUCUGUGAUGGAGGAGAAAUAGUUCCAACUUAGAGUAAAUUCAGCUUUUCUGACCUUCAAAUUAGCCCAGAUCCUUGCUUUUCUCUGUUGCCAAUAAACAAUCUACUUUAGGCCAACAGGCAUUGUGGGUAAUGGAUGAAGCCCCACUGUCCCUGAUCUGUGGAGUUCCAGACCACUUCCACUGCCUCAUAUAUAGUGACUUGAUACUAAAAGACUUGGUACUUUGGGAUAGUUUGGUGUUGUGAUGGCAACAGAAGGCAUGAACUGCAUCCAUGAGGAUUGAUCAUUAAGCCAAUAAGAGUCUUAAAAGGAAUGACUCUGACCUCUUACACCCUCCCUUCUUCCUUUCUUUAGAACAUGUGACAGGAACUCUCUAGCCUUGCCUAGGAGAGAGAAGAUACCCUCCCCGUCUACCCCAGGAAAUAAAGGGAUAAACAGCUAUAUAGUGUCUACUAUGGGCAAGGGCUCACUUGCCAGUGUUGAGGGACACAUUGUUGCUUACAAGCCACAGGUUUGACACCUCUGUUCUUGAAGACAUUUCGGAUCUUGCUACUAAGGGGCACAAUGUGAUAAGAUGCCAGGAUUCUCCACUCCAGCCAGAUGAAGCAGCAUCCAAGAUGGCAUUUCCUGACCACUCAAAGGCACAAAAAACUACUUUCGUUGAGUUGGAAUCUUCCAGACUUUGUAGAUGCCCCUAAAUCUUAUGAAUCAUUACCUCUUACCUUGGUGUCCAGAAGCUUAGGAAGAUGAGUAAAGAAGCAUCUACUUUAGUUUUGUACCAAACCACAAAGAAACCAGCCAGAGUCAGGUCUGACCCUCCAAGGACACCUUCAUCUAUACUACUUGUAUCUUGCAUGUACCUAUCCCUCCCUGUGCAUGUUAUCUCUCCCAUUAGAAUAUGAAUUCCUUUAGGGCAGAGACUGUUUUAUUUUUUUUCUGUGUAUCCCCAUUGUGUAACAGUGACUGGUACAUAGUAAAUACUUAAUAAAUACUUUCUGCUUCUUUGAUUAUACUGCUUG